rnacentral:rRNA from 1 species
UACGAAGGAUCCAAGCGUUAUCCGGAUUCAUUGGGUUUAAAGGGUGCGUAGGCGGCUUUGUAAGUCAGUGGUGAAAUCUCCUUGCUUAACAAGGAAACUGCCAUUGAUACUGCAGAACUAGAGUACAGAUGACGUUGGCGGAAUGUGUCAUGUAGCGGUGAAAUGCAUAGAUAUGACACAGAACACCGAUUGCGAAGGCAGCUGACGAAACUGCAACUGACGCUGAUGCACGAAAGCGUGGGGAGCAAACAGG